rnacentral:rRNA from 1 species
AGCGGGUGAAAAGCCCGCUCGCCGGAAGACCAAGGGUUCCUGUCCAACGUUAAUCGGGGCAGGGUGAGUCGACCCCUAAGGCGAGGCCGAAAGGCGUAGUCGAUGGGAAACGGGUUAAUAUUCCCGUACUUGGUGUUACUGCGAAGGGGGGACGGAGAAGGCUAUGUUGGCCGGGCGACGGUUGUCCCGGUUUAAGCGUGUAGGUGUGUGUUCCAGGUAAAUCCGGUUCACUUUAACACUGAGGCGUGACGACGAGGCACUACGGUGCUGAAGCAACAAAUGCCCUGCUUCCAGGAAAAGCCUCUAAGCAUCAGGUAACAUCAAAUCGUACCCCAAACCGACACAGGUGGUCAGGUAGAGAAUACCAAGGCGCUUGAGAGAACUCGGGUGAAGGAACUAGGCAAAAUGGUGCCGUAACUUCGGGAGAAGGCACGCUGACAYGUAGGUGAAGUGAUUUACUCACGGAGCUGAAGUCAGUCGAAGAUACCAGCUGGCUGCAACUGUUUAUUAAAAACACAGCACUGUGCAAACACGAAAGUGGACGUAUACGGUGUGACGCCUGCCCGGUGCCGGAAGGUUAAUUGAUGGGGUCAGCGCAAGCGAAGCUCCUGAUCGAAGCCCCGGUAAACGGCGGCCGUAACUAUAACGGUCCUAAGGUAGCGAAAUUCCUUGUCGGGUAAGUUCCGACCUGCACGAAUGGCGUAAUGAUGGCCAGGCUGUCUCCACCCGAGACUCAGUGAAAUUGAACUCGCUGUGAAGAUGCAGUGUACCCGCGGCAAGACGGAAAGACCCCGUGAACCUUUACUAUAGCUUGACACUGAACAUUGAGCCUUGAUGUGUAGGAUAGGUGGGAGGCUUUGAAGYGUGGACGCCAGUCUGCRUGGAGCCGACCUUGAAAUACCACCCUUUAAUGUUUGAUGUUCUAACGUGGACCCGUAAUCCGGGUUGCGGACAGUGUCUGGUGGGUAGUUUGACUGGGGCGGUCUCCUCCUAAAGAGUAACGGAGGAGCACGAAGGUUGGCUAAUCCUGGUCGGACAUCAGGAGGUUAGUGCAAUGGCAUAAGCCAGCUUGACUGCGAGCGUGACGGCGCGAGCAGGUGCGAAAGCAGGUCAUAGUGAUCCGGUGGUUCUGAAUGGAAGGGCCAUCGCUCAACGGAUAAAAGGUACUCCGGGGAUAACAGGCUGAUACCGCCCAAGAGUUCAUAUCGACGGCGGUGUUUGGCACCUCGAUGUCGGCUCAUCACAUCCUGGGGCUGAAGUAGGUCCCAAGGGUAUGGCUGUUCGCCAUUUAAAGUGGUACGCGAGCUGGGUUUAGAACGUCGUGAGACAGUUCGGUCCCUAUCUGCCGUGGGCGCUGGAGAACUGAGGGGGGCUGCUCCUAGUACGAGAGGACCGGAGUGGACGCAUCACUGGUGUUCGGGUUGUCAUGCCAAUGGCACUGCCCGGUAGCUAAAUGCGGAAGAGAUAAGUGCUGAAAGCAUCUAAGCACGAAACUUGCCCCGAGAUGAGUUCUCCCUGAGACUUAGAGUCUCCUGAAGGAACGUUGAAGACGACGACGUUGAUAGGCCGGGUGUGUAAGCGCAGCGAUGCGUUGAGCUAACCGGUACUAAUGAACCGUGAGGCUUAACCUU